rnacentral:rRNA from 1 species
GAUGAACGCUGACAGCAUGCUUAACACAUGCAAGUCCACUGUGUCGGACGGGUGAUUAACGCGUAAAGAACUUGCCUCACAGCUAGUGCCCACAUUUGGAAACGAAUGCUAAUACCCAAUUCUGUGGCAGUGCUUUGCGUCCCAUUAGCUAGUUGGAGAGGUAACUGCUCACCAAGGCGAUGAUGGGUAGCCGGCCUGAGAGGGUGAUCGGCCAAAGGGGGACUGCGAAGCGGCCAUUACUCCAACGGGAGGAAGCAGUGGGGAAUAGUGGACGAUGGACCAAAGUCUGAUCCAGCAAUUCGGUGUGCAAGAUGAAGUUUUAGGAAAGAAAAGUGCUUUCAGUUGUGAAGCGGUACCAACAGAAGAAGUGACGGCUAAAUACGUGCCAGCAGCCGCGGUAAUAC